rnacentral:lncRNA from 1 species
CAGCAUACCAUACAACAAAUGUAUUUAGGGAAAUCAUGGCCACAAACAUACCAUACCAAUUUAUGAUAUGAAUAAAAAAAUUAAUACUACAAUUACACUUAAGAAACCAAACCAUUCCAUUUUAGAUUAUGAACAGAGAACGCAGAAUUCAUACUGUAACUUCAUAUAAGAUGAUCCAGUAUGCAAUUCAAAACAAAUGUUACCUGGUUUGCCUUGGUUUCCUCCAUUUUACUUUUCUUUGAAUGAAUGCAAACUUUACUAGUUUUGAUCUGUCACUCACAAAUGAGUUGUUUUGUACGCUAUACUCAGCCAGACAGAAAAAAACAUACUAAGCAUACAUAGAUGCUAGCUAUAUUAGGAUAGUUAAAUAUUCAAUUCCAACAUUAUCAUUUAGCCUAUUGAAUGGGAAAAUCGUUAAAUAUUUUGGAAAGGGUUGGCGGAUAUCAUUCAUCUCUAAAAACAGUGAGGGGCUAUAGAACACAAGUGUGCACACAUUAGAGUGAGAGAAUGCAGGUGAGGAAUUUACCUGAAUGGCACGAGAACUUAAAAAGAGCCCUGAAUUCUUCUCCCUCAAGUCGUCCAGAGAAAUUUCUUUUUUGACAAGAUUUCUCUCAAGUUGAGACAUUCUCCUUGGUGCUGGUAUCCCAUGUACCAACAUGUCGAGGAAGUAUCUCACAUAAAAAUAAGAAAUUUUAAUAGAUGUACAUUACCAUAUUUACA